rnacentral:misc_RNA from 1 species
UGCAUUUUGCCUUCAUCAUUUGAAUAUAGUGAUCAGGAACGGAAUGGUUGGUUAAUCUCGGCUGAUGAUCAUCUCAAUUAGUUUGCUACCAACCGGCUACCUUGCCUGCUAUGCUUGCAAUGAAGCUCUAUAGUUUAGUGAUAGCAUAUGGUUUUGUGUGUGAACUGAGGAUGGGAGUACAAGUUUAAUAUUGAGCAGCAAGUACAUGAAUGGUCAACCUUGCAAGAUUCUUGCAAUUCAAUGCCCA